GACGAAGGUGGCAAGCGUUGUUCGGAAUCACUGGGCAUAAAGCGCACGCAGGCGGCGCGGUAAGUCGGAUGUGAAAUCCCUCGGCCCAACCGAGGAACUGCGUCCGAUACUGCCGGGCUUGAGAUCGGGAGGGGUGUGUGGAAUUCCGGGUGGAGCGGUGAAAUGCGUUGAUAUCCGGAGGAACACCGGCGGCGAAAGCGACACACUGGUCCGAUUCUGACGCUGAGGUGCGAAAGCCAGGGUAGCAAACGGG
rnacentral:misc_RNA from 1 species